GAACAUUAUUACAAUUUUUCACACAUUUUCUAUCUUUUCAGUGUCUAAGUGAAAUUUUAUUUCUGUGCUGAAUCCUUGGGGCUGCAGAAAGCAAAACUAUCAAAGACACCUACAUAUCUCUGCCUUGAGCAAAAACCAAAAUGCAGACACAACAGAAGAGAAAGCAGAUGGCCUUGGAAGUGCCCUGAAGAAGAUACCACAGGUCAUAUGUGGCAUAUGCAGUGUGAUUGCUUUGUGAAUUCAUCAGCCACGGAGAAAUAAGGAGAAAUCCAGAUCAAGUAGCGGGACAGUGGAGGUGCUGCAAGCCCAGCGGAGCUUCUCGGGCAGACAAUAAAUCAGCACUGAGGCAUUGCGCUGCUGCAUCCGGACUUCUGCAGAAGUUACUUCCUGGGAACCUCUUCUCCCUUCGAGCUUCGCCCCACGCUCCCCAGCUUGUUCCCACAUAUAUCAGAUUAAUGACAUCAAUGCCACCAGUCUGUAUUUGCGGCUGCAAAAAUAGCAAGGUGGUG
rnacentral:lncRNA from 1 species